rnacentral:misc_RNA from 1 species
AACCUAGCACACCUGCGGUGUGUACCUGCGGAAGGAUCAUUACCGAGUUUACAACUCCCAAACCCCUGUGAACAUACCUAUAAUUUGCCUCGGCGGACUCAACGACGGUGCUCCGAGAAAUCGGGCGCCGCUCGCUGCCAGAGGAACCCCAAACUCUAUGUAUUCUUGUGGAUCUUCUGAGUAAAACAAAACAAAUAAAUCAAAACUUUCAGCAACGGAUCUCAGAUCGGAAGAGCACAC